AGCCCUGAAUGUGAAGAAGAGGCGUUAUUGCAUACAAGUUCAAGGUUUUUGUUCCCAGCUGAACAAUUCCUGUUGUUUUUAAUAGUCUUAAGACUAGUAGUCACUGAGCAUUCAUUCUAGCAUUGCCUUCUCUCCCUCCUAGCUCCCACCACACUGGAGAAUUACAAUAUUGAUGACUAAGAAUGGACUUAAAUAAUCCAAAGUAAAACUGAGCAUCAGAGUUAAGAAAAAGCUGGUCCAAUUCUCUAGUGCUUGCUACAAUACAACUAAAGUCUCUGAAGUCAGACCUCAAAAAAUACUACAGAGGGAUAGGGCUGGAAGCAAGACAUAUGUUUAUGUGUUCUGAGGCAAGUGCUGUACAUACUCUUCUACUUGACGGUUUCUAGUACAUGUGAAAGCACAGAUAAUGGUAAAUUCAGCCUAGUGAUUUUCCCCAGCAAUUUCAGUGUUUUCCACUUUAUUUAACGCAUGCCAUCAGAGGCUCUAGAUGAUUUGGAAUUUUAAAACCCAGCAAUAAAGUGUUCAUGUCAUUAUGAAGAAAAAAAACUAAUUUAUUUUAA
rnacentral:lncRNA from 1 species